CCUACGGGUGGCAGCAGUGGGGAAUAUUGGACAAUGGGCGAAAGCCUGAUCCAGCCAUGCCGCGUGUGUGAAGAAGGCCUUCGGGUUGUAAAGCACUUUCAGUGGGGAAGAAAGCCUUGGGGCUAAUACCCUCGAGGAAGGACAUCACCCACAGAAGAAGCACCGGCUAACUCCGUGCCAGCAGCCGCGGUAAUACGGAGGGUGCGAGCGUUAAUCGGAAUUACUGGGCGUAAAGCGCGCGUAGGCGGUCUGAUAAGCCGGUUGGGAAAGCCCCGGGCUCAACCUGGGAACGGCAUCCGGAACUGUCAGGCUAGAGUGCAGGAGAGGAAGGUAGAAUUCCCGGUGUAGCGGUGAAAUGCGUAGAGAGCGGGAGGAAUACCAGUGGCGAAGGCGGCCUUCUGGACUGACACUGACGCUGAGGUGCGAAAGCGUGGGUAGCAAACAGGAUUAGAUACCCUAGUAGUC
rnacentral:rRNA from 1 species